rnacentral:rRNA from 1 species
GACGAACCGUGCAAACGUUGUUCGGAUUCACUGGGCUUAAAGGGCGCGUAGGCGGGCGGUCAAGUCAGGGGUGAAAUCCUCCAGCUCAACUGGAGAAGUGCCUCUGAUACUGAUCGUCUUGAGGGAGGUAGGGGCAUGUGGAACUUCCGGUGGAGCGGUGAAAUGCGUAGAUAUCGGAAGGAACGCCGGUGGCGAAAGCGACGUGCUGGACCUCUUCUGACGCUGAGGCGCGAAAGCCAGGGGAGCAAACGGG